CCUACGGGUGGCUGCAGUGGGGAAUAUUGGACAAUGGGGGGAACCCUGAUCCAGCCAUGCCGCGUGUGUGAAGAAGGCCCUCGGGUUGUAAAGCACUUUCAGUGAGGAAGAACGCCUGGUGGUUAAUACCCAUCAGGAAAGACAUCACUCACAGAAGAAGCACCGGCUAACUCCGUGCCAGCAGCCGCGGUAAUACGGAGGGUGCGAGCGUUAAUCGGAAUUACUGGGCGUAAAGCGCGCGUAGGUGGCUUGAUAAGCCGGUUGUGAAAGCCCCGGGCUCGACCUGGGAACGGCAUCCGGAACUGUCAAGCUAGAGUGCAGGAGAGGAAGGUAGAAUUCCCGGUGUAGCUGUGAAAUGCGUAGAGAUCGGGAGGAAUACCAGUGGCGAAGGCGGCCUUCUGGACUGACACUGACACUGAGGUGCGAAAGCGUGGGUAGCAAACAGGAUUAGAUACCCUUGUAGUC
rnacentral:rRNA from 1 species